UAAAUACAAACAAGUCUUUAUUUUCCUCUGUCUUUUUGAUGGUUACAAGCAAUAGUUUAGGUUAUAAUCAAGUAAAAAUAGUCUGUUAUCAGGUAUACUAUAUAGAGAAGUAGAGACAGGUAGGAAAAAAUCCUCUCUGUACACAGAUAGCAGUGUUUGCACAGUGCUAGAAAAAGGCAAGGCUGGAUGAAGCCAAAAUAGUGGAAGAGGGUGGAAAUUAAUCAAUUCACAGAAAUCCAGAUGUUCUGCAUACUCGGAGCCAAGUCUCUGCAUCCUGACUGCCAGAGAUUUUCAUGUUUCCUCCAGAUGUCUGCUUUCAGAAGUACUGAGAAUAUAAAGACUGCUCAAUAGAUUAUCAUCAGAUCAUUGCAAAGGAGGCAAGCCCUUCCUUCACUGCUUUCCAUGAUUGUCGACCAUGUUCACAAUUAGAGGUUUGAUGUUUUCACUGUGAGUGUUAGAGAGAGAGGUUGGUAUAUAUAAUACAAUGAAGAACUGGAGAUGACGAGAAAAUUGGAGGAAUCGCUUCAGCUGCUGCAGAAGUGAGUCAUUCUGAGUCCAGAAGCUGAUGGUUUGGUUUUAUCCAGAUUAAACAGUACUUGUCAUCAGGAUUCAAUUCAAGCAGAACUCGAUCCUGAGAGCCUACUUCCUCUCAUCCCUUCCAGAACUGACCAUGCACUCACUGGACCAUUAUUAUCAUUCUGUAUAAGGCACUCUGUAAGUGCAGUCUGUUUUUCCUAUUAGACUAGAGGCAAUCUAAGGAUAGAGACCACAACUUUGUCAUCCCUUUAUCCUGAACACAGAGCCCAAUGUCUCAUACAUGAAGGAUUCAAGAACUAUUGUGGAUGGUCCCGUAUUGUCAGAGUCACAAGGUGUGAUGCUGCAACAUGUGAGAAUGGCACCUAGUUCAGCUUCAUGAUUUGAGGAAGGCUGUGGGCUUCCCAUGGCAUCACUGACUCGAUGGGCAUGAAUUUGAGCAAGCUCCAGGAGUUGGUGAUGGACAGGGAAGCCUGGCGUGCUGCAGUCCGUGGGGUUGCAGAGUCGGACACAACUGUGCAACUCAACGGACUGAUGGGCUCCCCUGAUAGCUCAGUUGCUAAAGAAUCUGCCUGCAAUGCAGGAGACCCCGGUUUGAUUUCUGGGUCAGGAAGAUCCGCUGGAGAAGAGAGAGGCUUCCUACUCCAAUAUUCUUGGGCUUCCCUUGUGGCUCAGCUGGUAAAGAAUCUGCCUGCAAUGUGGGAGACCUGGGUUCGAUCCCUGAGUUGGGAUGAUCCCAUGGAGAAGGGAAAGGCUACCCACUCCAGUAUUCUGGCCUGGAGAAUUCCGUGGACUGGAUAGUCUAUUGGGUUGCAAAGAGUCGGACAUGACUGAGCAACUUUCACUCCACUCCAUUCUUUUUCAGAGACAGCAUCAUUAUGGAACAAAACCACUAUGGGCAGUGGAGUUUGGUGGAAUUUGUCUUUGGUGCAAACUCUUGCUUUGUGUGCAAGAAAUCAGUUUACUGAUUCUUUUUUAAGUAAUGCUCAUGCAACCACCAUCUCAGACGGCAAAGAAUCUGCCUGCAAUGUGAGAGACCUGGGUUCAAUCCCUGGGACUAGAAGAUCACCUAGAGAAGGAUACAGCAACCCAUUCCUGGAUAAUUCCAUAGACAGAGGAGCCUGUAGGCCUACAGUCCAUGAGGUCACAAAAAGUCAAACACAACUGAGUGACUACCCUGUCACUUUCACUUUUCUGUUUUCAUGCAACCACCAUAGGUAACCAACGGGGAAAUCGUGACUGAUGAUACAUCCAAAUGGUCAUACCACAAAACAGGACUCAUGCAUAUUACAAUCUAUUUUUAUCAAAGUAUUGGGUGUCUUCUCAGAGGGCAGCAUGACACUGCUGGGAUUAUUAUGAUAUUCAAUAUUCAAUAGUGUUUUUCCUUCCUUGUGCAUGUCUGGGUGGUGAAGAGUUGGGCUUCAUGUUCUGGAGCAGAGCCCUAAAGGACAGCUGCCCACGGCAGCACAUGUGGCAACUUCAGGGCCAUGGAGAGGGGAGACCACAGGGUCCUCUGACAGACCCCCAGAGAUUGACAGCAAUUCUUUAAAGUGUUUACCACCCUGUGUUAUAAAUACUCUCCUGCACCCUCCAGGACGUCAUUGAUUCUGCCAAACAUGAUAGCUUCAGGCAUGGGGGAGAGCUGGAUGGUGGGAGUAGCCUGUGAAAGAGCACAGGUGGCUAGUGGGCUGCCUCUCGGGGGCAUGACCAGUUGGGAACUGACCAUCAGAAGUCAGAAUAGCUUUGUGCAAAAUUGGGACCCUCAGAAGGAUGCUCAUUCAUGUUGGAGAACAGCCCCCAGCUAUCUUCCUCAGGCAGGCUGGAGAUCCAGCUGGUUCUUUGUCCAAAGACAGGAGGCAUCCUGGCAAGUGGGAGACGCUGAGGUUACAGACAGAUGGCUUUUCUCAAAGAAAGUUUUGGGUAAGACUUAAAUAGGCACAGCAUCUCUUCUAAGGGACAGAAGGUUUCAGGGAAGGUCCUACAGGUAGUUACUCCUCUGUCUUUACUCCUAGAUGGAAUCAAGGGCCUCCUGGGCCAAUUUGGGCUCCACGGGCCCACAGAUGCUUAGAGAAGCCCCACGUCGAGUCUGAAGGGCAGACAAAUGAGAAAGGCGUGGGGACAUGGGGACACCAGAGGAAGGGGAAGAGAGAUGAGGGGAUGGACAGUCCCUAGGGUAAGAAGAGAGAAUUGUUCAGGGCACUCUUGGUGGCUCACAUUAAGGUUGAGUCAAUAGGUGC
ensembl:lncRNA